rnacentral:rRNA from 1 species
AACGAACGCUGGUGGCAUGCCUAACACAUGCAAGUCGAACGAGACCUUCGGGUCUAGUGGCGCACGGGUGCGUAACGCGUGGGAAUCUGCCCUUGGGUUCGGAAUAACUCAGAGAAAUUUGAGCUAAUACCGGAUGAUGACGUAAGUCCAAAGAUUUAUCGCCCAAGGAUGAGCCCGCGUAAGAUUAGCUUGUUGGUAGGGUAAUGGCCUACCAAGGCGACGAUCUUUAGCUGGUCUGAGAGGAUGAUCAGCCACACUGGGACUGAGACACGGCCCAGACUCCUACGGGAGGCAGCAGUGGGGAAUAUUGGACAAUGGGCGAAAGCCUGAUCCAGCAAUGCCGCGUGAGUGAUGAAGGCCUUAGGGUUGUAAAGCUCUUUUACCAGGGAUGAUAAUGACAGUACCUGGAGAAUAAGCUCCGGCUAACUCCGUG